rnacentral:rRNA from 1 species
UUAAGCAUAUCAAUAAAGCGGAGGAAAAGAAACCAACCGGGAUUGCCUCAGUAACGGCGAGUGAAGCGGCAAGAGCUCAAAUUUGAAAGCUGGCUCCUUCGGGGUCCGCAUUGUAAUUUGCAGAGGAUGCUUCGGGUGCGGCCCCUGUCUAAGUGCCCUGGAACGGGCCGUCAGAGAGGGUGAGAAUCCCGUCUGGGAUGGGGUGUCCGCGCCCGUGUGAAGCUCCUUCGACGAGUCGAGUUGUUUGGGAAUGCAGCUCUAAAUGGGUGGUAAAUUUCAUCUAAAGCUAAAUACUGGCCGGAGACCGAUAGCGCACAAGUAGAGUGAUCGAAAGAUGAAAAGCACUUUGAAAAGAGAGUUAAAAAGCACGUGAAAUUGUUGAAAGGGAAGCGCUUGCGACCAGACUCGCCUCCAGGGUUCAGCCGGCAUUCGUGCCGGUGUACUUCCCUGGGGGCGGGCCAGCGUCGGUUUGGGCGGCCGGUCAAAGGCUCCCGGAAUGUAGUGCCCUCCGGGGCACCUUAUAGCCGGGAGUGCAAUGCGGCCAGCCUGGACCGAGGAACGCGCUUCGGCACGGACGCUGGCAUAAUGGUCGUAAACGACCCGUCUUGAAACACGGACCAAGGAGUCUAACAUCUACGCGAGUGUUCGGGUGUCAAACCCGUACGCGCAGUGAAAGCGAACGGAGGUGGGAGCCCCCUCGUGGGGCGCACCAUCGACCGAUCCUGAAGUCUUCGGAUGGAUUUGAGUAAGAGCGUAAAUGUGGGGACCCGAAAGAUGGUGAACUAUGCCUGAAUAGGGCGAAGCCAGAGGAAACUCUGGUGGAGGCUCGCAGCGGUUCUGACGUGCAAAUCGAUCGUCAAAUUUGGGUAUAGGGGCGAAAGACUAAUCGAACCAUCUAGUAGCUGGUUCCUGCCGAA